rnacentral:rRNA from 1 species
ACAUGCCUACAACAUAGUGUUAAUGCACCGGAUCCCAUUAGAACUCCGCAAUUAAGUGCACUCAUGCUAGAUUAGUACUGGGAUGGGCGAUCGCCCAGGAAGUCCUAGUGUUUUACAUGCC